rnacentral:lncRNA from 1 species
AUUGGUGGGAUCAUUCUGACAGCCAGCCACAACCCAGGAGACCUAAUGGAGCUUUUGGAAUCAAAUUUACUGUUUUUUAACAUAGAACCUGCUCCAGAAGCAAUUACUGAUAAAAAUUUCCAAAGCUAUCAAACAGUAUGAAAUUUGCUCUGAUCUGAAAGUGGACCUUGGUGUUCUGGCCAAGCAACAGUUUGACCUGGAAAACAAGUUAAAGCCUUUCAUAGUGGAAAUUGUGAAUUCAGUGGAAGCUUAUGCCUCAAUGCUGAGAAAUAUCUUUGGUUUCAAUGCACUGAAAGAACUUCUUUCUUGUCCGAACAGGCUAAAGAUCCAUAUGGAUGCCAUGCAUGGAGUUGUGGGCCCAUACGUAAAGAAGAGUCUCUGAAGAACUCGGCACUCGGCACCCCAGAAAAUUCAGCAGUUAAUUGUGUUCCCCCUGGGGCUGGGGAUGUGGCUCAAGCAGUAGCGUACUCACCUGGCAUGCGUGCAGCCCGGGUUCGAUCCUCAGCACCACAUACAAACAAAGAUGUUGUGUCCGCGGAAAACUAAAAAAUAAAUAUUAAAAUUCUCUCUCUCUCUCUCUCUCUCUCUCUCUCUCUCUCUCUCUAAGAAAAAAAAAAUUGUGUUCCCCUGACCCCAACUGACCAAGAGGAGACUAUGAAGUCUGGAGAGCAUGACUUUGGGCUGUGUUCAAUGGAGAUGGGAAUCAAAACAUGAUUCUGGGCAAGCAUAGGUUCUUUGUGAACCCUUCAGACUCUGUGGCUAUCAUUGCUGCCAAUAUCUGCAGCAUUCCAUAUUUCCAGCAGACUGGGGUCUGUGGCUUUGCACGCAGCAUGCCUACAAGUGGUGCUCUGGACUGGGUGGCUAACGCUGCAAAGAUGGCUUUGUAUGAGACCCCAACUGGCUGGAAGUUUUUUUGGGAAUUUGAUGGAUGCAAGUAAACUGUCCCUUUGAGAGGACGAGGGCUUUGGCACUGAUUGUGAUCACAUUUGUGAGAAAGGUAGACUGUGGGCUAUCCUUUCGGGGCUCUCCAUUCUUGCCACCUGCAAACACAGUUCAAAGCAUAUUUGCAGAGAUCAUUGGCAAAAGUAUGGCCUGAACUUCUUUACGAGGUAUGAUUACGAGGAGGUGGAAGCAGAGGGUGCAAGCAAGAUGAGGAAGGACCUGGAGACUCUGAUGUUUGCUCCUUUGUGGCGAAGCAGUUCUCUGCAAGUGACAAAGUCUACACUUUGGAGAAAGCUGAUAACUUUGAAUUCAGGGACCCCAUGGAGAAAGCAUUUCAAGAAAUUAGAGCUUGUGAGUCACUUUUGCAAACAGUUCUCACAUCAUCUUCCAACUAAAUGGCACUGGGAAUGCAGGGCCCACCAUUCGACUAUACAUUGACAGCUUUGAGAAGGAUGUUGCCAAAAUCAAUCAGAACCCCCAGGUCAUGUCGUGCGCCCCCGCCCUCCACCCCAACUUAUUUCUAUUGCUCUAAAAGUGUCCCGGUUCCAGGAGAAGACAAGAUACACUGCACCCACUGUAAUCACCUAGGAAGACCUGCCAGAUGCUGUAUGUCCUUCCAUCCCAGGACCUAUCCAUGUCAUCUGAUUGAAGAAUAUGGACAGAAACAAAGUGUAUCUACCCAGAUUUUUAGGAUUUGAUUUUUCCAUUUCAUAGUUGUUGAUAAACAGCACAUUGCAAAGCACUUCCAAUUGAGUCCCCUCGGGAGCUGUGUGAGAGAGGGAAGAGGACCCACAGGUUUAUGUCCGUUCCUUUUCAUGCCCUUCUAGAAGCACUGAGGCUGUGUGGGUAUCUCUCCUUAGCAUCAGACACUGUUUACACAACAGUGCAAGGUGGAGGCUGAGCAUCAGCGAGUGAGGCCAGCUUUCUUCUUUAGGAUGUGCCUACAAAAUGACAGCAGAAGUUCCAUUCUCCUUGAUGAAUAUUUCCCCCAGUUUACUGUCUACAUGUAAUCCAACAAAAUGUAAUUUCCGGUGCCUUCUCUCCAAUCAGUUUUCCUCUAAGUGAGACAUACUUGUCUACAGAUUCUGACUUGUUUUGUAGCACAGUCCCAUUUGCACAGAUAUUUUGGUAUAUUAAAGCAGAAUAAGAAACAAAAAACAAACAAUAAAAAAGGCUGGGGAUGUGGCUCAGUGAUUAAUUACCCAGGUUUAAGCCCCAUUAAUCUCCCACCCUCCCCCAAAAAAAUCUAUUCUUAGUGAUUUUAUAGUCACUAUAUUGUCUUGAAUUUAUUGCUUCUUGUCUAACUGCAAUUUUGUAUAAUUUGACCAACUUUCUUUGCAAAAAUGCCCUUCCUAUAAAAGUUCUUGAUUUAUUCUUCAUACAAGUUGUUUGCUAAUUCUAUCAUGAAUGUCUUCCUUCAGACUACUACUUAC